ensembl:lncRNA
ACACUCCUUAGUAUAGACAUGACGGGGCAGAAGGAGGCGCAGAUCCGAAAUCGUUUUCCACUGACUAAUUCAAAACACUAUUUUUGAAGAGGAAAAAAGGUGGGAUUUCCUUCCUGCCAGCUUGCGUCCUGCACAGGAAGAAAUAAUCAACCCGGUUUAUUCUGGACCCUAUCAGUUCCUGACCACAUUCCGUAAAUGCAGGCGCUCGGAAGAAAACAAACUGAUACACAGGUGACAGAAACCCAGCGAUGUACUGAUGGAGAGAUAGGGAAACUGUGACUAAUGAAUUCAGGCAGCAAUGGGGAAACAUAUUCAAGAGAGAACAGGCAACCUACAAGCUGGGAUCUGUAAUCAAGACUCUCUUCUGGCUACAGGGCCCAGUAACAGGCCAAGAACUGUUUAUCUGCAGAAGAGAUCAGAGUUUUGCUCCAAAAUCCCAAGGUCCUGUGCGAUAACUCACCUACAAGGACUUCCCAAAGGCUCCAAACAGCAUCUCUGUCCACCACUGGCACUUAAGCCCCAUUGGAUCUGCUGGAUCAUGUGGUCCUGGUGGUAGAGCAGAGGCCACAGCCGCCUGGAUCUGCUGCAGAGCUUUCUCUUGUUCUGUGCCUCACUCAAAACCAGCGGCUCUUUGCAUCUAUCAACAAAUGGUCUGGAGUAACACAUCCACAUGAGGAAUUUGAUGCUUCCCAAAUCCGAAAGGCUCACUAGGCAUUGUGCCUUGUAGUGGGGGUGGGGGUGGGGUGUGACUUGUGACUACGUAUAUGCACACAUGCACUUCCAAUCCUGCCUUUGAGAAAUAGGAUCACCCCUUUCUUUAGGAAGAGGAAAAUGGAUUUGAAGGUUAAAGUAAUUUGCUCUGAGUCACUUAGAUAGCAAAGAGCAGAACGAAAGUUCGAACAUAAGAUACAUUUGGUCUAUUUGAAAGAUUGUGUUCUUUCAGUUACAUCCUACUUUUUUUCCUUGUACCCUCUCCCCUCUCUGGCUCUAUGGAAAAACUAGGCACUGUCGAGUAGCAAAUACAGCAAUGGUUAAGUGCAUUUGUUCACUCAUUUAACAUAUUUUGUUUAUAAUUUACCAUUUGUUAGGCCUACACUUAGCAUUGAGAAUAUAAAUGUUAAAAGAUAUCAUCAUUUAUAUCCUCAAGGAGCUGAAUCUCGUGCAGAGACAAAUAUUCAGACUAGAACUAUGUAUUAGUUAUAUGGAUUGGCAUAAAAAGGAAUGUGGUCCCAGAUUCAGUGGCGGGCAAAGGGAGAAAGGAGGGGGUGUGGGUGUGUGUGCGUCUUGAUUGGAGUAAGGGAGAUCUAUAUUAAGAGACAAAAAAAUGUGUAAAAGCUGCUGGCGUUAUAAGAAUUAUAAGUACCUUGGUAUUGCUAGAAUGUAUGUAUAUAGAGGAAAAAGAUAAAACAACUAGACAGGCAGUGGUGCCAUCAAACGAGCUAUCUGUAUGCAAUAUGGAUUGGAAGGCUUGAAAUAUUUUGAGCACAGGCAUGGGGAGAAAAUGAUAGAAUCUGGACACUAAAAAUAAUACUCUUUGGGCAAUGUGGAGACUGAUU